CCUACGGGUGGCAGCAGUGGGGAAUAUUGGACAAUGGGCGAAAGCCUGAUCCAGCCAUGCCGCGUGUGUGAAGAAGGCCUUCGGGUUGUAAAGCACUUUCAGUGGGGAAGAAAGCCUUGGGGCUAAUACCCUCGAGGAAGGACAUCACCCACAGAAGAAGCACCGGCUAACUCCGUGCCAGCAGCCGCGGUAAUACGGAGGGUGCGAGCGUUAAUCGGAAUUACUGGGCGUAAAGCGCGCGUAGGCGGUCUGAUAAGCCGGUUGUGAAAGCCCCGGGUUCAACCUGGGAACGGCAUCCGGAACUGUCAGGCUAGAGUGCAGGAGAGGAAGGUAGAAUUCCCGGUGUAGCGGUGAAAUGCGUAGAGAUCGGGAGGAAUACCAGUGGCGAAGGCGGCCUUCUGGACUGACACUGACGCUGAGGUGCGAAAGCGUGGGUAGCAAACAGGAUUAGAUACCCCGGUAGUC
rnacentral:rRNA from 1 species